rnacentral:rRNA from 1 species
UACGUAGGGUGCAAGCGUUGUCCGGAAUUAUUGGGCGUAAAGAGCUCGUAGGCGGUCUGUCGCGUCGGCUGUGAAAACUCGGGGCUCAACUCCGAGCUUGCAGUCGAUACGGGCAGGCUAGAGUGCGGCAGGGGAGACUGGAAUUCCUGGUGUAGCGGUGUAAUGCGCAGAUAUCAGGAGGAACACCGGUGGCGAAGGCGGGUCUCUGGGCCGAUACUGACGCUGAGGAGCGAAAGCGUGGGGAGCAAACAGG